AACGAACGCUGGCGGCAUGCCUAACACAUGCAAGUCGAACGAGACCUUCGGGUCUAGUGGCGCACGGGUGCGUAACGCGUGGGAACCUGCCCUUAGGUUCGGAAUAACUCCCCGAAAGGGGUGCUAAUACCGGAUAAUGUCUUCGGACCAAAGAUUUAUCGCCUUUGGAUGGGCCCGCGUUGGAUUAGCUAGUUGGUAGGGUAAAAGCCUACCAAGGCGACGAUCCAUAGCUGGUCUGAGAGGAUGAUCAGCCACACUGGGACUGGGACACAGCCCAGACUCCUACGGGAGGCAGCAGUGGGGAAUAUUGGACAAUGGGCGAAAGCCUGAACCAGCAAUGCCGCGUGAGUGAUGAAGGCCUUAGGGUUGUAAAGCUCUUUUACCCGGGAUGAUAAUGACAGUACCGGGAGAAUAAGCUCCGGCUAACUCCGUG
rnacentral:rRNA from 1 species